rnacentral:rRNA from 1 species
AUUGAACGCUGGCGGCAGGCCUAACACAUGCAAGUCGAGCGGAUGAAGGGAGCUUGCUCUUGGAUUCAGCGGCGGACGGGUGAGUAAUGCCUAGGAAUCUGCCUGGUAGUGGGGGAUAACGUCCGGAAACGGGCGCUAAUACCGCAUACGUCCUGAGGGUGAAAGUGGGGGAUCUUCGGACCUCACGCUAUCAGAUGAGCCCAGGUCGGAUUAGCUAGUUGGUGGGGUAAAGGCCUACCAAGGCGACGAUCCGUAACUGGUCUGAGAGGAUGAUCAGUCACACUGGAACUGAGACACGGUCCAGACUCCUACGGGAGGCAGCAGUGGGGAAUAUUGGACAAUGGGCGAAAGCCUGAUCCAGCCAUGCCGCGUGUGUGAAGAAGGUCUUCGGAUUGUAAAGCACUUUAAGUUGGGAGGAAGGGCAGUAAGUUAAUACCUUGCUGUUUUGACGGUACCAACAGAAUAAGCACCGGCUAACUACGUG